rnacentral:rRNA from 1 species
CUACGGGGUGCUGCAGUGGGGAAUAUUGCACAAUGGGCGCAAGCCUGAUGCAGCCAUGCCGCGUGUAUGAAGAAGGCCUUCGGGUUGUAAAGUACUUUCAGCGGGGUGGAAGGGAGUAAAGUUAAUACCUUUGCUCAUUGACGUUACCCGCAGAAGAAGCACCGGCUAACUCCGUGCCAGCAGCCGCGGUAAUACGGAGGGUGCAAGCGUUAAUCGGAAUUACUGGGCGUAAAGCGCACGCAGGCGGUUUGUUAAGUCAGAUGUGAAAUCCCCGGGCUCAACCUGGGAACUGCAUCUGAUACUGGCAAGCUUGAGUCUCGUAGAGGGGAGUAGAAUUCCAGGUGUAGCGGUGAAAUGCGUAGAGAUCUGGAGGAAUACCGGUGGCGAAGGCGGCCCCCUGGACGAAGACUGACGCUCAGGUGCGAAAGCGUGGGGAGCAAACAGGAUUAGAUACCCGAGUAGUC